CUAACUAAGUAUGUAGGUUCUCUGGCUGUCAAGUAUCCUAUUAUACUUUUUUGGAAAAAAAAUUAAAUGCAAAAUUUAGUUCACUCUAAUAUUUCACCAUAAAUGACGUCUAAGCCAAAACUAGUAACUAGAAAAAUAACAGUUUUUCUCAAAGCGCCGCAUGGGGCUUGAAUUUUUACUGAUGUGUCUAGGAUCCACACAUAUAUAUGCCGGUGAAGACAGGUGACACCUGUUAUAUAACACUGAGUUGGCGCUUGAGAAAAUGUUAUUUUAAGAAAUUCGUCAAUAAUUUUCUUAAAGAAUAGAAAAUAACAUUGAGAAUAAUGUCUGGAAGUAGUCUUAAUUUUUUUGGCUGUAUAUCAGGAGUUAUGGAAACAGUACACUCUCAAAUUUUUAUUGGAUUUUUCUCCAGAGCCAACAUUUGUUUCAACGUUAUUUUAAAUAAUCAUUAAAAUUUUCGUUGUUGCAUCAUAUCAUUCAUUUCACAGUCGUUCCAGCAAUUUAGCAACAUUUCCGCUUUUGACUACGCCGGCAUCACAACAUCAACAGUGUAAUCGGUAUGUCCAACAUGAGCCUAGGAGGUGUAACGGCUUAUUGAUCGCUACUAUUUACCUGUCAGUCGGUCAAGCCAUUGUAAUGUGUGUUUGUGUGUCAAUCAGUCUAACAGUCAGCUGAUGUGGCUGUCAAGAGUGGCAGCUGUCUUAUGCAUACCUACAGCACAUGAAGAGGGGUGACUUCCUGAUGAAUCAAGCCUUAUUUCGCAUGUGUUCAAAUAAUUACAGCACUCAUGCCGCUAGUGUGCGUGUUGUAUGCCGGCACACAUCAUGUUUUCUGUUUUGACGAAUAUUUUUCAAUUUAAUAGAUAUAUUUUUAUUUAGUUUAAUUUUGGCUGAAAUAAUUUAAAUUUGGAGAAGUAAAAUAAUAGCAGUUGGGAGCCUGAGCUAAAAUAAAUGCAACUUCCGCAUUAAAACUAAAGAUAAA